rnacentral:rRNA from 1 species
GGCCAUACCAUGGUGAAUAUACCGGUUCUCGUUAGAUCACCGAAGUCAAGCAUCAUUGGGCACGGUCAGUACUUGGGUGGGUGACCACCUGGGAAUACCGCGAGCCGUU